rnacentral:rRNA from 1 species
CGAGCGGCAGCACAGAGAAACUUGUUUCUCGGGUGGCGAGCGGCGGACGGGUGAGUAAUGCCUGGGAAAUUGCCCUGAUGUGGGGGAUAACCAUUGGAAACGAUGGCUAAUACCGCAUAAUAGCUUCGGCUCAAAGAGGGGGACCUUCGGGCCUCUCGCUUCAGGAUAUGCCCAGGUGGGAUUAGCUAGUUGGUGAGGUAAUGGCUCACCAAGGCGACGAUCCCUAGCUGGUCUGAGAGGAUGAUCAGCCACACUGGAACUGAGACACGGUCCAGACUCCUACGGGAGGCAGCAGUGGGGAAUAUUGCACAAUGGGCGCAAGCCUGAUGCAGCCAUGCCGCGUGUGUGAAGAAGGCCUUCGGGUUGUAAAGCACUUUCAGUCGUGAGGAAGGUGGUGUUGUUAAUAGCACUAUCAUUUGACGUUAGCGACAGAAGAAGCACCGGCUAACUCCGUGCCAGCAGCCGCGGUAAUACGGAGGGUGCGAGCGUUAAUCGGAAUUACUGGGCGUAAAGCGCAUGCAGGUGGUUUGUUAAGUCAGAUGUGAAAGCCCGGGGCUCAACCUCGGAAUAGCAUUUGAAACUGGCAAGCUAGAGUACUGUAGAGGGGGGUAGAAUUUCAGGUGUAGCGGUGAAAUGCGUAGAGAUCUGAAGGAAUACCGGUGGCGAAGGCGGCCCCCUGGACAGAUACUGACACUCAGAUGCGAAAGCGUGGGGAGCAAACAGGAUUAGAUACCCUGGUAGUCCACGCCGUAAACGAUGUCUACUUGGAGGUUGUGGCCUUGAGCCGUGGCUUUCGGAGCUAACGCGUUAAGUAGACCGCCUGGGGAGUACGGUCGCAAGAUUAAAACUCAAAUGAAUUGACGGGGGCCCGCACAAGCGGUGGAGCAUGUGGUUUAAUUCGAUGCAACGCGAAGAACCUUACCUACUCUUGACAUCCAGAGAAUCCUGCGGAGACGCGGGAGUGCCUUCGGGAACUCUGAGACAGGUGCUGCAUGGCUGUCGUCAGCUCGUGUUGUGAAAUGUUGGGUUAAGUCCCGCAACGAGCGCAACCCUUAUCCUUGUUUGCCAGCGAGUAAUGUCGGGAACUCCAGGGAGACUGCCGGUGAUAAACCGGAGGAAGGUGGGGACGACGUCAAGUCAUCAUGGCCCUUACGAGUAGGGCUACACACGUGCUACAAUGGUGCAUACAGAGGGCAGCGAACUAGCGAUAGUAAGCGAAUCCCAAAAAGUGCGUCGUAGUCCGGAUUGGAGUCUGCAACUCGACUCCAUGAAGUCGGAAUCGCUAGUAAUC